rnacentral:pre_miRNA from 1 species
UUAACUCAAAUUUGUAUGCAUUUGUAACGUUUGGCUACGUUUGCCGCUAGGGGCGCUGUUCCAACUGCAUACUAAUAUGAGUUA